rnacentral:lncRNA from 1 species
GGCGGCCUAUCGUUGGACGCGUGUAUACUCCUUCGCUGAGUUUCCGACACGUGUCCCGUACAUGCUUAUCUUCGCGUGGCGUCGAGUGGGCUUCCGGCUUUCUUGGGCUUCUUUGUUGUUGGGCUUUGUGGGCCUUUUCUUGGUUAUAUAUUGUUUUCGUUGGGCAUGCUUUCUUGGUCCUUUUGAUGUACUUUUGUUGUUUUUUGGGCUUGACCUUUUUUAAUAAGAUUUUCAGUGAAAAAAAAAAGAUGCAGAUAAAAAAUUAAAGGUAAAAUCAUCUACUACAACCCAACCAGUCACGUUCAUUAAGUUUUUCAACAAAAAUGUUGGUUUUCUAUUAUUAUUUUUCUUUUAAAAGUAUUUCUAUUAAUUUCAUUAAUCAUGUUUUAGAAAAAAUAUUAUUUUAUAUAAAAUAACAGAUAUUUUCUAUCUUGAAAUUAGACAAAAAUAGAAAAAAAAAUCAACAAAAACAUAUUUUAAAACUAACUAUUUUAAUUUAUUAAUAGAAAUAUAGACAAAAUACAUAACCAUAAAAUAUGUGUGCACAAAUUUGUUAAGAAAAUAUGUGUGCUCAAAUUUCUUUGGAAACAAAUUCAUCAAAUAUCUGAUAUUAAUAUGUUUUAUUUAUAAUGUUAAAUUAAUUAUAUAAUAAUAUAUUGUAGUAUGUCUAAAUAUUAAUUUAAUUUUUUAUAAAAUUGAAAUUUUAAAUAAAAUUUUAUAUAACUCUCUUUGUAUGUUUUUCCUUGGUAAUAAUAUUUAUACUUUUACUUAGAAGAAAUAUUUUUUAUUAUUAUUAAAUUAUCCAUUCAAGUAUUUCAAAAAAGAAAACUAAAAUCUACAACAAAAAAAAACAAAAACUGAAAACUAAAAUCUAUAAAAUAAAAGCUAACAACAAAAUACUAAAAACUAAAAUUUGAAAACCAAACAAACAAUCAUCACUUUAGUGACAAAACAUCGGAUUUAUGUAGGAUACAAACAAAAUAAAACCAAUGAUUUGGUACAAAAUGUACGAUCAUGCAAUUUAUAGAAAAUGUAUUUGAAAAAAUGAAAGAUUAUAUAGAAAAUGUACAUCAGCAAGGACAUUUGCUUGUCUUAUUGACUGACACGUAAUCUAAACCAACCCACAAAUUAAAGUUGAUGUAAUAAGCCCUCAAGAUUCCAUCCUCACAGCUGGAGACUGAACUUAAGUUUAUUUUAAUGAUUAAUACUCGAGAAUUUAUUUUUUUCAAAAAAAAAAAAUAUUCGAGAAUUUAUUGACAAGUAGAUAUUAAAGCAACUUCGUAAACAUUUAUAUCAAGGAAUGUUGCACUAUUUCAAAUUGAUUAAUGCAAGCAAGUCAUAUAACUUUUUUGACGAUGGACAUGUUGUAAUUGCAUGUCUCCCACAAAAGACUAAUUCAAAUCCUAGUGCCAUUAUGUUAUCAUUCAAAAG